rnacentral:rRNA from 1 species
UACGUAGGGUGCGAGCGUUGUCCGGAAUUACUGGGCGUAAAGAGCUCGUAGGCGGCUUAUCGCGUUGUUCGUGAAAAUUUACCGCCCAACGGUGAACUUGCGGGCGAUACGGGCAGGCUAGAGUACUGCAGGGGAGACUGGAAUUCCUGGUGUAGCGGUGAAAUGCGCAGAUAUCAGGAGGAACACCGGUGGCGAAGGCGGGUCUCUGGGCAGUAACUGACGCUGAGGAGCGAAAGCGUGGGGAGCGAACAGG